GCAGUCAGUGGUCAUUGAAACCUUCCAGUUCCAUUAUUAAUUAUUUGUAGUCACCCUACAUACAUUUAAACAAACAAAAAAGCAGGGUUGCCUAAGGUCAACUGCAGCAGCUGUAUGUAAAUACAGGGCUUCUAUUUAUACGCACAUUAUAGAAUGCCAAAAGCCAGGACUACUCCGGCCUUUGACUCCCUGAUGGUUCGGUUUGAACACCCAGAGUAAACGCAAGAGUUCACUAAGCCCUACCCAACACAAAACCCAAACGCAAUACCGCAAAUACCGCACACAACAGCGGCAUGUAGUAACGCCAGGUGAGCGUUGGUUUCCCUGCACUCAGCUCACAUCACCAGCCUGUUCACGAGGUCCUACGCACACUGCCUCCAAGCCUCCUAUAAAACUUAGUGUUCAAACAGUGUAUGGGCUGGUGGUUAAUAAAAUUAUGCCAUCAGUUUGAACCUGCUGACAUCACUGUCCUCAUACCUAUUUACACCACCCUCAAAAAUGCACACCUCCAUAAAGCACAUUUAUAGACCGCAGUGUUCAGAGGAUGCUACAGUCCAUCCCCAACAGAACAUAAAGCAACUCCCCAGCAGGAGCCUGAUGAGAACACAAGACGCCUGCCCGUUUCUUCGGGCAGGUCUGUCUCUGCCAUGAAGAGUGUGACGGUGUGCACCGUACCCCAGUAAGUGCAAGAUACCAACAGACACAGUGCACCUAAAGUGGCAGCAUUCCUCAGUUCCGGAGCAGGAAGCACAAUAGGGACUCUCCAGAUACAGUACACACACUAAUAGGCCCAAGCACUAAUUACAAGGAAUAAUGCUCACAAGACCCGACCUACUCAUAUCAACACGACCACGAGGCCUACAGCCUUCCUAAGUAUUAUUUUUUCUUAACUUAAAAUCUGUCUAGAAGAGCGAUUAAAUUUGCAACUUCCUAUUAAGACUUGCCUCUCACAACAGCUUUCAAAAUAGAACUUCCUUCACACAACUACAGGCAGCUGACUAAAACUGCAGUUUGUUCUACGCUUUCACCUUUCCGUUUGAGCGCUUUUGGGGGAGGAGAAAAAAAAACAACAAGCAACAAAACCAACACAAUUACCACCUCCGAUUAAAAUCUAAUCCUUUCAAAUCUGAUUACAACUCAGAAGGAUCAAAAUCUAAGCAGUCUGCAACUGGGAACGAGCUCUGCGACGGCCGGGCCUGGUCGGGAUGAAAGUUGACAAUAUUUCACCAAGUAACUCGCAGCCUGCGCUCAUCUACAGACAGAGCAGUCUGCUCAGCGGGUCUCUCAUAAGGCACUCAACAGUGACUAAGGCCCAAGACCAAAUAAAAAUACUAUCAGAGCAAAACCUACGUAUUUAGACAUGCCUCAUGCAAUACGCGAUGUCUGUAGCAACACGUUACGUUCAAACCAGUUAUCCUGCCCCUCGUAUUUUUAAGACUGUGCAAAUUAAGAACACGCAAGGCAAAUAAGCAGCUUACAGGAGAGAGCACAAGAAGGGAAGAUUGGACUGUGUCCACUCUAGUCCGAAAGAAGGUGACCAGUUAUGACGUGAAAAUGCUGUGCCAAAACUUGCAGUGAAAGCCAAGUCUACCGGGUUGUUUUGUUUUUUUUAAUUAUUUUAUUUUUGCUAUUUUCAGUUCUAA